rnacentral:lncRNA from 1 species
ACGAGGAGGAGGACGAGGAGGACGAGGAUUUGUGCUCGGUAGAUCAUAUUUACGAAGCAGGAAGCAAGCCCCAGUUCGAAAAUCUAUUUCAAGAGGAAACAUAUUACGAAAGGAACGCCUCAAGAGAUACACCCAAAAAUCAAAAGAUUUCUUUCGUCACCCCUCUGCUGUUAGUCUUAUACUCUUUUUGAUGUCUUUUCUACGUUACAAAGGGUCCAAUUAGUCUAAAAAGGGUUAUACAAUUCGUUUCUGUACGAAAGUG